GCCGGAGCCCGACCAAGAUCUGAUCGAUCUGCGGCGACGGCCUGGACCAAAGGAGUUCGCCCGUGCUCCGCCGAGAGGAAGGAGGAAGCUCCCCUUUUGCAGGGAUCUCACGGUCAUGGCAGGCAUGAAGAAGGGGAAGGGGAAGGGGAGGGGGAAGGAGGAGCGACGGGUGACCUUUGCACCGGAAUCCGGGGAGCGACGGGUGUCAGCAACAAGUCAAAAGAGGAACGUGAAUGCAGCUGACUCGUCAGAAAAAUUAGUGUCUUGGAAAUAGAACCUCAAGGAAGCGGAUUAGAGAAAUUGAUGCAGAUGGCCCUGGAGCUUACAAGUCAGCGCCAAGAAACCUUAAAAGUACUAAAGAUUCUCAUUCCUCAAACCACAUGUCCUCAAAGUUUGUACCGCUGGCAGGAAUUCCCGCACACAAAACCAGGAACCUUACGGACAUGGCUGUGAGGGUGAAAGGGGACGUGGAGGAGGGGCGAGUAAUGAAGUUUGGGCAGAAAUUCAUCAGGGUAUUCUCCACUCCAGAAUACGGGGAGCGAUUGGUGAGACCACAUUGCAUCUUGGUUAAACUAGAAGGGGAAACUAUUUAUUUGUUUCUGAAUCAUCUAGAAAUAUUAUUCCCUGUAGACCAACACUGUCGUAUAGCAUUCGAAACACACUAUUGUUGUUAUGAAGGUUGAAAAUAUGAACUUCGAACAUCUAGUUUC